rnacentral:rRNA from 1 species
UACGUAGGGCGCAAGCGUUGUCCGGAAUUAUUGGGCGUAAAGGGCGCGUAGGCGGCUUUUCAAGUGACGGGUGAAAUCCCUCGGCUUAACCGAGGAACUGCCUGUCAGACUGGAAGGCUUGAGACCGGGAGAGGUGAGUGGAAUUCCCAGUGUAGCGGUGAAAUGCGUAGAUAUUGGGAGGAACACCAGUGGCGAAGGCGGCUCACUGGACCGGAACUGACGCUGAGGCGCGAAAGCGUGGGGAGCAAACAGG